ensembl:lncRNA
GCCACAGCAACAUAACUCCUGCAGGAUGGUCUUGGAUUUGGAGAUUCCAAGUCCACCCCAGAAGCCUCUACCUGCCGACCCCCUGGGCAGGAAUACCCAGAAGCCUUUGACUGCAGACCACCUGGGCAGGAAUAUCCAAAAACCUCUAUCUGCCGACCAAAUGAGCAGGAAUACCCAGAAGCCUUUACCUGCCUACCCCCUGAGCAGGAAUACCCAGAAGCCUUUGCCUGCUAACCCUAACUCCCCCGGAAGGAGUGGUCAUCUGAUUCAUAGUCCCAUUGCUGUCGGCGUCCCCAUCCCUGUACCUGUCCCCGGUGUCCCCAGGCCGCUGAGACCUGUUCCACACCACAACAGAUCUGUUCCUAAGCAACCCCCAACACUACCUAAGCCUCGUAUGAUCGUCCACGCCAAGUUCAGCAGCUGAGAGCAGCUGGACUAAACUUGAAGGGAAUUGAAGAACGUUCUUUCCGUGAGACGAUAAAGACAUUUCACUUGCACUAUGAAACUCUGAAAACC